AUUGAACGCUGGCGGCAGGCCUAACACAUGCAAGUCGAGCGGAUGAGGGGAGCUUGCUCCUGGAUUCAGCGGCGGACGGGUGAGUAAUGCCUAGGAAUCUGCCUGGUAGUGGGGGAUAACGUCCGGAAACGGGCGCUAAUACCGCAUACGUCCUGAGGGAGAAAGUGGGGGAUCUUCGGACCUCACGCUAUCAGAUGAGCCUAGGUCGGAUUAGCUAGUUGGUGGGGUAAAGGCCUACCAAGGCGACGAUCCGUAACUGGUCUGAGAGGAUGAUCAGUCACACUGGAACUGAGACACGGUCCAGACUCCUACGGGAGGCAGCAGUGGGGAAUAUUGGACAAUGGGCGAAAUCCUGAUCCAGCCAUGCCGCGUGUGUGAAGAAGGUCUUCGGAUUGUAAAGCACUUUAAGUUGGGAGGAAGGGCAGUAAGUUAAUACCUUGCUGUUUUGACGUUACCAACAGAAUAAGCACCGGCUAACUUCGUG
rnacentral:rRNA from 1 species